ACCAACAAACCUAAACUCUUUAUUAAAAACAAAACAAAACAAAACAAAAACACCUUUUAUCGGGAUGAAAAAGACAGUGGCUUCAUUUUCCAUUCCUCCAUCAUCUAACUAGGAAUUUUUCCCUCUUCAUAGCUCCUCUAGUGCCUCGUGACUCUGUGCUUAUCACAUUCCACCCUGUGUUCCAAUUAUCUAUAUAAAUGUCAUGUUGCGCUGCCUGUCAAGAAUGACCAAGGAAGCAGCCAGGUUCAGGCAGGGCAUGGGGUCAAGAAGAGGGGUAGGGGGGGCAGGACUUGCUCUGCGUGAUCAGACCACUGACAGCAGGAAGACAGGCAGGGCAAUUUCAUAAGGACAGGAAGGACGGCAAAGGGCCGGAGUCAGGGUGGCGGGUGGGUUAGCCAGGGAUGACCCUGAGCCUACAUCGUGUGCUGAAGAAGCAAAGCGUUGGAAGAGACAGCAGCUGGGCCUGGAUUCGGGGCAACCAUCGGGACAGUAGUCAGAAUCCCUGACUGUGCAAAAAGGCCUGGCUGCCACAUGCUGCCUCUCUUAACAGCAGACUCCUUUACUUAAUUCAGUAAAUAUUUAGCGAACGCAAACAUGUGUGAGACACUGUGCGGCUACCUGGGGCUUCUGGCGGUGGCCAUGAGGAAAUAAAAUAAUUAGGAUUCACUUCCUAUUCUCAGGGAACUCAUGAUAUAAUGAAGAGAUAAAUAUGUAAAGAGUUAUUUCCACUACUUCAAGAUAACUGCUCCAUUUGCUGAAGACCUACUGUAGCCAACUGUAGAGUUUUGUGAAAAACACCACUGCAAAGCUCAAGACAGUAGAGAGAGGUUAUUUAGGGCUUGGACAAAUCAGGGUUCAAAUCCUAGCUUUACCAUGUAUCAACUGUGUGACCUUGGGCACGUUACUUAAUCUCAUUAAGCUUCAGUUUCUUCCUAUGCAAAACUGGGAUCAAAACAGUUCCUUCCUCAUAGGGCUGUGGUGGGGACUGAAUGAGAUUCUGCCUGGAAGCUCCUGGCAUAAUAAGUGCUCAAUAAAUGUUAACCAUUCAUUCACUUAACAAGUAUUUAACAAGAGUGCGUGCUAUGUGCUAGGCACAGUUCUGAGAGCUUGGGCUGCUGUAUCAGUGAACAAAGCAAAGAUCCUGCCUGCCUCGAGGAGUUUAUGUUCUAGGGGGGUAAGCCAAGCAUAUUAUAAUAAUGAUAUUUAUUAGUAAUAAUAGUAGAAAACAGGAUCAGAAAAGGAGCUGUUAAUGGUUUUGUAGAGGAGGUGGCAUUACACAUAUGAUGUGAAGGAUAGAUAGAAGAUUUGAAGGGGAGAAUGGGGUGACAGGCAUUUCUGGCGAGAGAGAACCUCCCAGCAGAAAUUCAGAGGUCAAAUACACAAGAGACUGCAGAUUCAACGUGGCCGAGGCAGAGGGUGUGUGUUAGGCAAAAAGCACGGAAAGAGAGGUUGGAGCAACAGGUCAAAGAGUCUUCCUGCCUUGCUGCAAUUUGGAUUUUAUUCCAUGGUGGGUGGUGAGCCAGUCCAGAUUUCUAUUCAGGGAAAAAUAUGUUGCAAUGAUAAAUCUGGAAGAGUGGCUUGGGGCAGGGAGGUAUCUUGAGGCUGUUGGAUUAGUCCAGGCAAGAGAUAAUGAGUGGAGACAGAAGUAGGACAAAUACAGGAUGGGUUGAAGAGGAAGAAUCCCUAGGACUUGGUGACCCACUGAAUUAAAGGGUGAGUUGGAUGGUGGGGCGUGUCAAGUAGGAAAAGACUGAAAACUGUUCGUCUGGUUCAACAAUAAGGAGGUAACUCGUGCCUUUUGAUGACAGCAGCUUCAGUGGAACAAUACGGAUGGGUGCAGUGGAUUGAAGAGUGAACAGGAGGAGAGGCCAGGUGAUGACAGAGUGUGGGCAGUUUGCAAGAAGCUUGGUGAUGAAGUGGACAAAAGAGCAGAGCUGCAAGGACUGAUGAAGCUGAAGGUGGAACUUUAAGGUGAUUUCAGGCCAUUCCGUUGAUUGGUGGUUUGCUAUGCAGCAGGAGUUACCUGAUAACGUUGUGUCACAAGCACAGCAUUCAGAGGUUCUGCAAACCAGACCGCACCACAGGGCAGGUCUAGAACACCAAACUCUGUAAGCCGUGGUUGGAGUUGUGUGUUCCUUUGGUACUGAGCUGUUUGCUAAAGACGAUUAAUGUGGAAAAAACCGUGAUACCCGAGGGAGGUCUUACAUCGUUCACAGCCUGCAGCUCUCAGCCAGGUACAGGUAACCCCCGAUGGUGAGAAAGUUCACUUUGAGCAUUUCACUUUUACGAAAGACCUACAUUGGUACCUGUUUUUUUUUUUUUUUUUUU